CGAACGGUGAGUAACGCGUGAACAACUGACCAAAGAGGGGAUAACAUUUGGAAACAGAAUGCUAAUACCGCAUAAGACCACAACGUCACAUGGCGAAGGGGUCAAAGGAGCAAUCCGCUUUGGGAGGGGUUCGCGUCCCAUUAGGUAGAUGGCGGGUAACGGCCCACCAUGCCAACGAUGGGUAGCCGAGCUGAGAGGCUGAUCGGCCACACUGGAACUGAGACACGGUCCAGACUCCUACGGGAGGCAGGCAGUGGGGAAUAUUGGGCAAUGGGCGCAAGCCCUGACCCAGCAACGCCGCGUGAGGGAAGAAGGUUUUCGGAUUGUAAACCUCUGUCGCAGAAGACGAAGGAAGUGACGGUAUUCUGUGAGGAAGCCCCGGCUAACUACGUGCCAGCCGCAGC
rnacentral:rRNA from 1 species